rnacentral:rRNA from 1 species
CACGUAGGCACCAAGCGUUGUCCGGAUUUAUUGGGCGUAAAGAGCUCGUAGGCGGCCUGUUGCGUCCGCUGUGAAAGCCCGGGGCUUAACCCCGGGUCGGCAGUGGAUACGGGCAGGCUAGAGGUAGGUAGGGGAGAAUGGAAUUCCUGGUGUAGCGGUGAAAUGCGCAGAUAUCAGGAGGAACACCGGUGGCGAAGGCAGGUCUCUGGGCUGACACUGACGCUCAUGCACGAAAGCGUGGGGAGCAAACAGG